rnacentral:rRNA from 1 species
UGGGGAAUUUUGGACAAUGGACGAAAGUCUGAUCCAGCGACGCCGCGUGGAGGAUGAAGGUUUUCGGAUCGUAAACUCCUUUUACAGGGGACGAAAGCUCGCAAGAGUUUGACGGUACUCUGUGAAUAAGCCACGGCUAACUACGUGCCAGCAGCCGCGGUAAUACGUAGGUGGCGAGCGUUACUCGGAAUUACUAGGCGUAAAGCGCGUGUAGGCGGGAGCUUAAGUCUGUCGUGAAAGCUCAGGGCUCAACCCUGAAAUGUCGACGGAAACUGGGCUUCUUGAGUGCGGUAGAGGAGAUCGGAAUUCCAGGUGUAGCGGUGAAAUGCGUAGAUAUCUGAAGGAACACCAGUGGCGAAGGCGACUCCCUGGACUAAAACUGACGCUGAGGUACGAAAGCGUGGGUAGCAAACAGG